AUUGAACGCUGGCGGCAUGCCUAAUACAUGCAAGUCGAACGAGUGGCGGACGGGUGAGUAAUGUCUGGGAAACUGCCUGAUGGAGGGGGAUAACUACUGGAAACGGUAGCUAAUACCGCAUACCAUCGGAUGUGCCCAGGUGGGAUUAGCUAGUGGGUGGGGUAACGGCUCACCUAGGCGAAGAUCCCUAGCUGGUCUGAGAGGAUUACCAGCCACACUGGAACUGAGACACGGUCCAGACUCCUACGGGAGGCAGCAGUGGGGAAUAUUGCACAAUGGGCGCAAGCCUGAUGCAGCCAUGCCGCGUGUAUGAAGAAGGCCUUCGGGUUGUAAAGUACUUGCAGCGGGGAGGCGUUACCCGCAGAAGAAGCACCGGCUAACUCCGUGCCAGCAGCCGCGGUAAUUC
rnacentral:rRNA from 1 species